AACGAACGCUGGCGGCGUGCUUAACACAUGCAAGUCGAACGAGAAAAUGUAGCAAUACAUGAGUAAAGUGGCGCACGGGUCCGUAACACGUGGGUAAUCUACCCUUAGGCGAGGGACAACCUGUCGAAAGACGGGCUAAUACCUCGUAAGACCACGGAAUCUUAGGAUUCUGAGGUAAAAGGUGGCCUCUAUUUAUAAGCUAUCACCUGAGGAUGAGCCUGCGCACCAUCAGCUUGUCGGUGAGGUAAAAGCUCACCAAGGCCUAGACGGUUAGCUGGUCUGAGAGGACGACCAGCGACACUGGAACUGAGACACGGUCCAGACUCCUACGGGAGGCAGCAGUGGGGAAUUUUGGACAAUGGGCGAAAGCCUGAUCCAGCAACGCCGCGUGAGUGAUGAAGGCCUUCGGGUUGUAAAGCUCUGUCGGAGGGAACGAAUAAAGGCCACCUAAUACGUGGCCAUAUGACGGUACUCUCAAAGGAAGCAACGGCUAACUCUGUGCCAGCAGCCGCCGCGGUAA
rnacentral:rRNA from 1 species